GGCGGGGGAAUAGCCAAAAGAAAGCAACCACUUCGUCGCACUCGCGCAAAGGAGCACUAACUGACCUGUGGCGCAUUGCUUUGCCUUGAACCCGAGACUGUUCUGCUCUGGGUUAUCAAACGGCCGAGUAGUGAGUGUUUGUUAUUAAUCCCGUCGUAGAAGUCAAUUUAGAGGAACUGCGAGACUGGGCUUCAACGUAAAAGCUGGACCUUUUGGUGCGACAAGGUCAUUUCAGGAAGCCGGGAAAGCAAGCAUUCUGGGGGAUACUAAUCUUUUUGUCCCAACCAUCGGCAUAUGUGUGUGUCUGUAGUAUGGUAGCAAUGAGGACCAAGAUCGUUUCCGUGAGCGUGGCUUCGUCCCUUCUUGAAGAUGCUAGGAAGAAUCCAUCGUUCUAUUGGGUCCACCCGUGAGCUCCAGGGGAGAACUCUUCUUCUGUAUGUGCAAGUAAUCUGCUUAAAAAAUCCUUUCGAGCGAAGAAAGAAUAGAUGAAAGGGAGACCGAAAGGGAAGACACAAGGAAGGGUUGAAAGGAGGGGGGCGAGGAAGAAUGAAUUAGGGGAAGGGACGAUUUGUAUGGACGCACAGAAGGAUAAGGGAAAAAACAAAAAGGUGCAGGAUGGGGAAUCGGCGUUUCGCGCACGUUUCAAGUAAACUAUGUGAAACUUUUCCCUCCGUUCCCCUUCGAUAGCUCAGCUGGUAGAGCGGAGGACUGUAGAGGUCAAAUCUGUGGUCAUCCUUAGGUCGCUGGUUCGAUUCCGGCUCGAAGGAGGAGUGGUGCAAUUUUGAGUUUCAACCCUGCACUAAAUACACGUGUCAGAAGACCGCAAGAAGGCGACCUUUUUACAAGAACUGUUCACUCCUCUGCCCCACUUUCCAUUCUUCUUAUUGUUUCCAGAUAGACAAAGCAGCAAGCAAGUCUUGGAGUAGUGUUGAUUUACUUGUCAAGGUAAUGCUCAUUUUAAAGCAAUACUCCUGUUCUACCACCACUCCAUUUGCUGCUUUGAUUACGGCAGUAAAUCCACCUUUUUUUUUUUUUGAGGGAAUGUCCCAAGUAUUUGUCAUUUAUUCUGAUGUACACUAUUUUAACGAACAACUUGAUGAAUUCGUAUGCUUGCAAAUAGCUGCAUACAGAAGCUGCAGAUCACAACACAAAGAUGGCAACGAUUUCUGUUUCUUGAAAGAAUCUGUUGAAUGAAAUAGCACUUGAGUUCAAAAAAGCAAUCACAAACAUACAGAGAACAUGUGGCCAUUCUGAAUUUCAUCUGGAAGUACAAAAUGAAUAGAUCCCAAGUUCAAUCUGAGUAAUUGGAGAAAUUGUUAUUGAUUCCUCUACAUUGUAGCUUAAGCUUCUGGCACUUGGAGAAAGAGGAAGAUUUGCUUGGUUUGGUUAAAAACAAAACAAAACCGCCCUGUGCUAACUUUUUCUAUGAAGGGAAACAAUUUUAAUGAGAAUGAUCAUGCAAAUACUGGAAUGCUCAAGCUUGUGAAAAGGUCCCUAACUAUUUAAAGAUUCAAGAAAAUGUCCACAUCUUAAUCAUUCAUCUAGACUUCACCUGAAAACUGUUUGGUUUCUCCUUGAUGGAAAAAGUGUAUUUAGUUAAUAAAAAUUACUUUUUUUUCUCUAA